CGGGGGGAGCAAGCGUUGUUCGGAAUCACUGGGCGUAAAGGGAGUCUAGGCGGUUUGGUAAGUGGGAUGUGAAAUCCCCGGGCUCACCCCGGGACCUGCAUCCCAAACUGCUGAGCUUGAGUACAGGAGAGGGUGGGGGAAUUCCAGGUGUAGCGGUGAAAUGCGUAGAUAUCUGGAGGAACACCGGUGGCGAAGGCGCCCACCUGGCCUGCUACUGACGCUGAAGCUCGAAAGCUAGGGGAGCAAACGGGAUUAGAUACCCCGGUAGUCCUAGCCGUAAACGGUGAUCACUAGGUGUUGGGAGCAUCGACCCUACCAGUGCCGCAGCUAACGCAUUAAGUGAUCCGCCUGGGGAGUACGGCCGCAAGGUUG
rnacentral:rRNA from 1 species